rnacentral:rRNA from 1 species
ACAGAUUAAGUGUUCCGCCUGGGGAGUACGGUCGCAAGAUUAAAACUCAAAGGAAUAGACGGGGACCCGCACAAGUGGUGGAGCAUGUGGUUUAAUUCGAAGAUACGCGAAGAACCUUACCUAGCCUUGACAUUGAUAGAACACCCUAGAGAUAGAGUGGUGCCCUUCGGGGAGCUUGAAAACAGGUGCUGCACGGCUGUCGUCAGCUCGUGUCGUGAGAUGUUGGGUUAAGUCCCGCAACGAGCGCAACCCUCGUCCUUAGUUGCCAGCAGUUCGGCUGGGCACUCUAAGGAGACUGCCUUCGCAAGGAGGAGGAAGGUGAGGACGACGUCAAGUCAUCAUGGCCCUUAUGGCUAGGGCUACACACGUGCUACAAUGGGGCGUACAGAGAGUUGCGAUACCGCGAGGUGGAGCCAAUCUCAUAAAGCGUCUCUCAGUUCGGAUUGGAGUCUGCAACUCGACUCCAUGAAGCUGGAAUCACUAGUAAUCGUAGAUCAGCAAUGCUACGGUGAAUACGUUCCCGGGUCUUGUACUCACCGCCCGUCACACCAUGGGAGUUGAUUUCACCCGAAAUUGGGAAGCUAACCUUCGGGAGGCUACCACUUACGGUGGAAUUAGCGACUGGGGUGAAGUCGUAACAAGGUAACCAAGGGCGAA